UACAGAGGGCGCAAGCGUUAUUCGGAAUUAUUGGGCGUAAAGGGCGCGUAGGCGGCUUGGCAAGUGGGUGGUGAAAUCCCUCGGCUUAACCGAGGAACUGCCAUCCAGACUGCUUUGCUUGAGGCCGGGAGAGGUGAGUGGAAUUCCCAGUGUAGCGGUGAAAUGCGUAGAUAUUGGGAGGAACACCAGUGGCGAAGGCGGCUCACUGGACCGGUUCUGACGCUGAGGCGCGAAAGCGUGGGGAGCAAACGGG
rnacentral:rRNA from 1 species